CACACUUGGCUAUUUAUAGAGGGCAGCCAACCCUUGGAAGUUGACAACCCCAGCUUCCCUAGGUAUGUGUGUCGAGCACCCCACGAUUUUCUCUUAUGGUUGACACCCCCAACCACCUAGGGAUAAGAUCGCUUAACUAGUCGAUCUUGUGGUUGACAACCCUAACCACCUAGGUUUAUCCAAAGGGGAGUUACUCAAGGCAACCUCCUCCAACUUCCUUUGGAUAGGAGCUAAUAACCUAUGCUAACCGCCGCUUGCAUCUCCCUUGCAUAAGCUUGCGUCACGCACUUGCAGCUUGCUUGUCAGCAUGCCAUCCUCGCCCCUCGCUAUGCGCUGCCCCUGGAAGUCCCUCGCACAGGCCAUGCAUUGCCUACUCUCAAUGCAUGGGCUUGCCAUCAGUGCUUAGCUAGGUUAACCCUCGAGUCUCCCUCCUUGCCUGCUGAUGGGCCAAUGUUGGCUUUGCUUGCUGCUUGGUUAGCGAGGCUUGCACACUCAAACACUGGACUUCCUUGGACAAUCCUUGCUGCCCUUCGACACUCAAGAUAUAUGGCUCCAGAGCAUGUCAUGCGUGGACAGUUUUCUGUCAAGUCUGAUGCCUAUAGCUCCGGUGUGUUAGUCUGGAGAUAGUGAGUGGACAGAAAAACAGUUCUUUCAGUCAUGAAGGGAAUGUGGAAGAUCUUCUAAGCUAUGCAAGUAAAAAGCAUGGAGAAGCUGGAGGGAAGGGUCAGCAGCUUCAAAUCUAAUAGAUAACAGCUUGAUGACUGGUUCAAGAACUGAAAUAAUGAAAUGCAUCCAUAUCGGAUUACUAUGUGUACAACAAAAUAUAGGUGAUAGGCCAACCAUAGCUUCGGUUAUUCACAUGCUUACUAGCAACUCCCUCACUCUUCCAGUACCCUCACAACCAUCAUUUCUUAUGAUUGGAUCCGGCAUGCCAGGAAUCCUGGGUUCAAGUCGAUCUAAGAGCAACUCUGUCCUAAACUCAGUAAGUGAGGCUUCGAUCACAGAACUAUCUCCUCGCUAGAGCUUGAUCAUCAGUUUUGCGUCAACAUAAAAGUAGUCAUAUAAUAACGAUUUUUAGCUUUAGGGGUUCAGAGUUUUUACCCUUCACAAUUGGCAAGAGUACUUGCUCUUCGCACCUGUAUAAUUUACUUUACAAGUCUACAAGAGGAAAGCUUAGAAGGAUUCGCUAUCAAGCAUUUGAAAGAUUGCAUCUGCCUUUUUGCCAACAUAU